UACGUAGGUGGCAAGCGUUUGUCCGGAUUUAUUGGGUUUAAAGGGUGCGUAGGCGGCCUUUGUAAAGUCAGUGGUGAAAUACUCCAGCUUAACUGGAGGGGUGCCAAUGAUACUGCAGGGACUUGAGUACAGAUGAGGUAGGCGGAAUUGGACGGUGUAGCGGUGAAAUGCAUAGAUAUCGUCAAGAACACCGAUAGCGAAGGCAGCUUACUGGGCUGUAACUGACGCUGAGGCACGAAAGUGUGGGGAUCAAACAGG
rnacentral:rRNA from 1 species